rnacentral:rRNA from 1 species
AGAGUUUGAUCCUGGCUCAGGAUGAAUGCUGGCGGCGUGCCUAAUACAUGCAAGUCGUACGGAAAGGCCCUUCGGGGUACUCGAGUGGCGGACGGCUGAGUAACGCGUGGGAACGUGCCCCAAAGUGAGGAAUAACUGCCCGAAAGGGUAGCUAAUGCCGCAUAUGGUCUUCGGAUUAAAGCUUCGGCGCUUUGGGAGCGGCCCGCGUACGAUUAGAUAGUUGGUGAGGUAAUGGCUCACCAAGUCUACGAUCGUUAGCUGGUCUGAGAGGAUGAUCAGCCAGACUGGAACUGAGACACGGUCCAGACUCCUACGGGAGGCAGCAGUAAGGAAUCUUCCACAAUGGGGGCAACCCUGAUGGAGCAACGCCGCGUGCAGGAUGAAGGCCUUCGGGUCGUAAACUGCUUUUAUAAGUGAAGAAUAUGACGGUAACUUAUGAAUAAGCACCGGCUAACUACGUGCCAGCAGCCGCGGUCAUACGUAGGGUGCAAGCAUUAUCCGGAGUGACUGGGCGUAAAGAGUUGCGUAGGUGGUUAGUAAAGCGAAUAGUGAAACCUGGUGGCUCAACCAUACAGACUAUUAUUCGAACUCACUAACUCGAGAGUAGCAGAGGUAACUGGAAUUUCUUGUGUAGGAGUGAAAUCCGUAGAUAUAAGAAGGAACACCAAUGGCGUAGGCAGGUUACUGGGCUAUUUCUGACGCUGAGGCACGAAAGCGUGGGGAGCGAACCGGAUUAGAUACCCGGGUAGUCCACGCCGUAAACGAUGGACGCUAGAUGUAGGACCUUUCGACGGCUUCUGUGUCGUAGCUAACGCAUUAAGCGCCCCGCCUGGGGAGUACGGCCGCAAGGCUAAAACUCAAAGGAAUUGACGGGGGCCCGCACAAGCGGCGGAGCAUGCGGAUUAAUUCGAUGCAACGCGAAGAACCUUACCAAGGCUUGACAUACACCGGAAACGGCCAGAGAUGGUCGCCCCCUUGUGGUCGGUGUACAGGUGGUGCAUGGUUGUCGUCAGCUCGUGUCGUGAGAUGUUGGGUUAAGUCCCGCAACGAGCGCAACCCUCGUUCUAUGUUGCCAGCGGGUUAUGCCGGGGACUCAUAGGAGACUGCCGGGGUCAACUCGGAGGAAGGUGGGGAUGACGUCAAAUCAUCAUGCCCCUUAUGUCUUGGGCUUCACGCAUGCUACAAUGGCCGGUACAAAGGGCUGCGAUACCGUAAGGUGGAGCGAAUCCCAAAAAGCCGGUCUCAGUUCGGAUUGAGGUCUGCAACUCGACCUCAUGAAGUCGGAGUCGCUAGUAAUCGCAGAUCAGCAACGCUGCGGUGAAUACGUUCCCGGGCCUUGUUCACACCGCCCGUCAAGUCAUGAAAGUCGGUAACACCCGAAGCCGGUGGCCUAACCCUUGUGGAAGGAGCCGUCGAAGGUGGGAUCGGUGAUUAGGACUAAGUCGUAACAAGGUA